rnacentral:lncRNA from 1 species
GGAGGCGUUGCCAGCCACAUGGAAUUGGAUGCUUUCUCUCCAUGUCACCGCACAGGACGGCACAGCCAACACUCAGCUGGGCACAAGAAGGGGGCACACGGGGCUGCCCAUUGAUUCUCUGUUAUUGUUAUUUUUUGACACAGAGUCUUGCUCUUCACCCAGGCUGGAGUGCAGUGGUGUGAUCUCGGCUCACUGCCACCUCCGCCUCCCCGGUUCAAGCGAUUUUCCCUGCCUCAGCCUCCCGAGUAGCUGGGACUACAGGCAUGCACCACCACUCUCGGCUAAUUUUGUAUUUUUAAUGGAGAUGGGGUUUCAUCAUGUUGGCCAGGCUAGUCUCCAACUCCUGACCUCAUGUGAUCUGCCUGCCUCUAACUCCCAAAGUGCUGGGAUUACAGUCAUGAGCUACCCUGCCUGGCCCAAUUCUCUGUUUUUCAGGGAUGAAUGGUUCUUUCCCUUCUUUCCCUUCCAAUCCUGAAUUCUGGCCAUCUGAUACCAUGUGGUGUUUCAUCACCAGCACUUCAUGGUAUUUUUUUUUUAAGAGACAGAGUCUCACUCUGUCACCCAGGCUGGAGUGCAGUGGUGUAAUCAUGGCUCACUACAGCCUCGACCUCCUGGGCUCAAGUGAUCCUCCUCCCUCAGCCUCUGAGUAGCUGGGAUCACAGGUGCGCGCCACCAGGCCUGGCUAAUUAAAAAAAAUUUUUUUUUGUAGAGAUGGAGGUCUUGCUAUGUUGCCCAGACUGGUCUUCAACUCCUGGCCUCAAGCGAUCCUCCUGCCUCGGUCUCCCAAAGUGCUGGGAUUACAAGCCUGGGUCACCACACCUGGCCGUAUUUAAAAAAAAAUUUUUUUCACUUUGGGAGGCCAAGGCAGGCGGAUCACGAAGUCAGGAGAUCGAGACCAUCCUGGCUAACACGAUGAAACCCCAUCUCUACUAAAAAUACAAAAA